rnacentral:rRNA from 1 species
AUGGCGCUCCUCCGAGCCCUCCGGCGAGCCCUCCCGCCGCUCUACUCUCCGGCGGCGCCUCUUUCCCGGCGCGCCCCAGGUCCUCCUCCGCUCCCUUCCCGUCCACUCCGGCUCCUGGAUCCGAUCGGGUUCCGGCCCUUCUCCGCCGCGGCUGCCACCGCCACCGCCGUCGCGCGGGCGCCGGAAAUGGGGGCCAGCCUCUUCAGAGGGCUCACGGAGACCAGGUUCCCCAAGCGGCGGCCGGGAUUCGUGUCCCGGCGCAAGAGGGCCAGCCUGCGACCCAAAGGUCCGCACUACUGGGUGAAGUGCACGCCGGGGGAGCCUAUCCCUUCGAGCCAGCCGAAUAAGGGCAGUGUCCAGGGGAGGAAGGAGAAGAAGCGUAUCAAGCAGCGCAAGGACUUUAUCAUGGCUGAAAAGAGGAAGCGCAAAGCACAAUAUUCUGUUGCUGUGAAGAGAAAGGAGGCAGAACGGACAGAGAGAAAGAUGGCUGCCGUGGCAAGAGACCGGGCAUGGGUGGAAAGGUUGGCAGAGUUGAAACAGAUAGAGGCAGAGAAGAAAGCCACGAUGGCUUAA